rnacentral:tRNA from 1 species
GCGCCCGUAGCUCAGUUGGAUAGAGUACCUGGCUACGAACCAGGUGGUCGGGAGUUCGAAUCUCUCCGGGCGCG